rnacentral:ncRNA from 2 species
CGCCCUCGUUUGCUUCGAGGUGCCCGCGCCUGGCGCGGGAGAAUCGGAAAGGUGGUGCAAACCCACCGCGCGCCCAGCGCCGUGAAGGGGAUUGUCCGGGCAAGGUUCGCCCAGCCACUGGCUCGCAAGGGCCGGGAAGGCGUCCGGAUGAGAUGAUCCGCAGCCGGAAGGCCGGCCUCGAAGCCUUGUGUACA